rnacentral:lncRNA from 1 species
ACACACACGGUAGUAUGAAAUGUUCUUCCACAUGUUUUAUCAUUAUAAAAGAAAUCAAUUGGUUCGAUCCAUCACGAGCCCCUCAUACUGAAUAGCAAAGCGACAAAACAAGCAGCAAAUCCCCAAACUCCAAUUUAUUAUUACACACCAAAGUCGCACAACAGUUUAACCAAAGAACGGUGGCAAAACUCAGUCUGAUAAAUGGAUCAUCAAAGAAGAUUCAAUGCAUCCAGAAGCAAGGCCGACAUAGGAGCUGUGCACCAUGCCACGGACGUAGCCAGUCGAGGAAGUUGAUCGUAUCUUCUAUACGACUCAUGUUCGACCUUUCGGUCUUCUGUGUUCCGAGGCCAUGUCUGUACAUGCUAGGCUCGUCAAGUCAACCUAAGUGUUUGCAUGUGUAAAUCUGUCUUACACCCGUUGUAUGUGAACGUUGGAGUCUUUCACACCCGAUCAUCACGUGGUGCUUCGAAACAACGAACUGUCGCAACGGUGCACAGUUAGGGGGAACACUUUCUUGAAAUUAUUAUGAGGGAUCAUCUUAUUUACUACCGUCGUUCUAAGCAAAUAAGAUGUAAAACAUGAUAAACAUCACAUGCAAUCAAAUAGUGACAUGAUAUGGCCAAUAUCAUUUUACUCCUUUUGAUCUGCAUCUUCGGGGCUCCAUGAUCAUCGUUGUCACCGGCAUGACACCAUGAUCUCCAUCAUCAUGAUCUCCAUCAUCGUGUCUUCUUGAAGUUGUCACGUCAUCUAUUACUUCUACUACUAUGGCUAACGCUUUAGCAAUAAAGUAAAGUAAUUACAUGACGUUUAUGUUGACACGCACGUCAUAAAUAAAUAAAGACAACUCCUAUGGCUCCUGCCGGUUGUCAUACUCAUCGACAUGCAAGUCGUGAUUCCUAUUACAAGAACAUGAUCAAUCUCAUACAUCACAUAUAUCAUUCAUCACAUCCUUUUGGCCAUAUCACAUCACAAGGCAUAUGCUGCAAAAACAAGUUAGACGUCCUCUAAUUGUUGUUGCAAGUUUUUACGUGGCUGCUAUAGGUUUCUAGCAAGAACGUUUCUUACCUACGCCAAAACCACAACGUGAUAUGCCAAUUGCUAUUUACCCUUCAUAAGGACCCUUUUCAUCGAAUCCGAUCCGACUAAAGUGGGAGAGACAGACACCCGCUAGCCAGCUUAUGCAACUAGUGCAUGUCAGUCGGUGGAACCAGUCUCACGUAAGAGUACGUGUAAGGUCGGUCCGGGCCGCUUCAUCCCACAAUGCGGCCGAAUCAAGAUUGGACUAGUAACGGUAAGAAUAUUGAACAAAAUCAAAGCCCACAACUACUUUGUGUUCUACUCGUGCAUAGAAACUACGCAUAGACCUAGCUCAUGAUGCCAAUGUUGGGGAACGUAGCAGAAAUUCAAAAUUUUCUACGCAUCACCAAGAUCAAUCUAUGGAGUAAUCUAGCAACGAGGGGAAGGAGAGUGCAUCUACAUACCCUUGUAGAUUGCUAAGCGGAAGCAUUCAAGUGAACGGGGUUGAUGGAGUCGUACUCGUCGUGACUCAAAUCACCGAUGAUCCUAGUGUCGAACGGACGGCACCUCCGUGUUCAACACACGUACAGCCCAGUGACGUCUCCUACGCCUUGAUCCAGCAAGGGAGAAGGAGAGGUUGGGAAGACUCCAUCCAGCAGCAGCACAACGGCGUGGUGGUGGUGGAGGGGCGCGGGACUCCAGCAGGGCUUCGCUAAGCACUACGAGAGACGAGGAGGGAGAGGGGUAGGGCUGCACCAACAGGGAGAUUGAAUCGUGUGUGUUGGGCAGCCCAAACCUCAAGUAUAUAUAGGGGGAGGGGAGGGGCUGCGCCCCUACCUAGGGUUCCACCUCUAGGGGCGGCGGCCAGCCCUAGAUCCCAUCUAGGGGCGGCCAAGGGGGGGAGAGAGGGGGCGCACCACUAGGUGGGCCUUAGGCCCAUCUGAGCCUAGGGUUUGCCCCCUUCCACUCUCCCUUGAGCCUUGGGCCUUGGUGGGGGGCACACCAGCCCACUUGGGGCUGGUCCCCUCCCACACUUGACCCAUGCAGCCCUCUGGGGCUGGUGGCCCCAUUUGGUGGACCACCGGGACCCUCCCGGUGGUCCCGGUACAUUACCAAUAAAACCCUAAACUUUUCCAGCGACCAAAACAGGACUUCCUAUAUAUAAAUCUUUACCUCCGGACCAUUCUGGAAUUCCUCAUGACGUCCGGGAUCUCAUGCGGGACUCCGAACAACAUUCGGUAACCGCGUACAUACUUUCCCUAUAACCCUAGCGUCAUCGAACCUUAAGUGUGUAGACCCUACGGGUUCAGGAAACAUGUAGACAUGACCGAGACACCUCUCCGGUCAAUAACCAACAGUGGGAUCUUGAUACCCAUGUUGGCUCCCACGUGCUUCAUGAUGAUCUCAUCGGAUGAACCACGAUGUCAAGGACUUAAUCAAUCCCGUAUACAAUUCCCUUUGUCUAGCGGUACGAUACUUGCCCGAGAUUCGAUCGUCGGUAUCCCGAUACCUUUGUCAAUCUCGUUACCGGAAAGUGUCUUUACUCGUUCCGUAACACAUCAUCACGUGACCAACUCCUUGAUCACAUUGUGCACAUUAUGAUGAUGUCUUACCGAGUGGGCCCAGAGAUACCUCUCCAUUUACACGGAGUGACAAAUCCCAGUCUCGAUUCGUGCCAACCCAACAGACACUUUCAGAGAUACCUGUAGUGUACCUUUAUAGCCACCCAGUUACGUUGUGACGUUUGGCACACCCAAAGCACUCCUACGGUAUCCGGGAGUUGCACAAUCUCAUGGUCUAAGGAAAUGAUACUUGACAUUAGAAAAGCUUUAGCAAACGAACUACACGAUCUUGUGCUAGGCUUAGGAUUGGGUCUUGUCCAUCACAUCAUUCUCCUAAUGAUGUGAUCCCGUUAUCAACGACAUCCAAUGUCCAUGGUCAGGAAACCGUAACCAUCUAUUGAUCAACGAGCUAGUCAACUAGAGGCUUACUAGGGACAUGGUGUUUUCUGUGUAUCCACACAUGUAUCUGAGUUUCCUAUCAAUACAAUUCUAGCAUGGAUAAUAAACGAUUAUCAUGAACAAGGAAAUAUAAUAAUAACCAAUUUAUUAUUGCCUCUAGGGCAUAUUGACAACAGUUUAUUCCAACUCCUAGAGGCUUGCGCCGUCCAUAAAUGGAUCACUGGAGCUUGCAUACUUUGUUAGCUCCCUUUGGAUCGACAAAACCUUCUGGUUGCAUCAUAUACAACUCUUCUUCCAAAAAUCCAUUCAGGAAUGCAAUUUUUACAUCCAUUUACCAAAUUUCAUAAUCAUAAAAUGCGGCAAUUGCGAACAUGAUUCGGACAGACAUAAGCAUCGCUACGGGUGAGAAGGUCUCAUCGUAGUCAAUCCCUUGAACUUGUCGAAAACCUUUCGCAACAAGUCGAGCUUUAUAGACAGUAACAUUACCGUCAGCGUCAGUCUUCUUCUUGAAGAUCCAUUUAUUGUCAAUGGCUUGCCGAUCAUCGGGCAAGUCAACCAAAGUCCACACUUUGUUCUCAUACAUGGAUCCCAUCUCAGAUUUCAUGGCUUCAAGCCAUUUUGCGGAAUCUGGGCUCACCAUCGCUUCUUCAUAGUUCGCAGGUUCAUCAUGGUCUAGUAACAUGACUUCCAGAACAGGAUUACCAUACCACUCUGGUGCGGACCUUACUCUGGUUGAUCUACAAGGUUCAGUGAGGGAGUCCAGGAUUAGGGGGUAUCCGGACAGCCGGACUAUAUCCUUUGGCCGGACUGUUGGACUACGAAGAUACAAGAUUGAAGACUUCGUCCCGUGUCCGGAUGGGACUCUUCUUGCCAUGGAAGGCAAGCUUGACAAUACGGAUAUGCAGAUCUCCUUCCUUGUAACCGAAUCUGUGUAACCCUAGCCCCCACCGGUGUCUAUAUAAACCGGAGGGUUUUAGUCCGUAGGACAACAUGCAAUCAUACCAUAGGCUAGCUUCUAGGGUUUAGCCUCUCUCAUCUCGUGGUAGAUCAACUCUUGUACUACUCAUAUUAUCAAGAAUAAUCAAGCAGGACAUAGGGUUUUACCUCCAUCAAGAGGGCCCAGACCUGGGUAAAACAUCGUGUCCCGUGCCUCAUGUUACCAUCCGCCUUAGACGCAUAGUUCGGGACCCCCUACUCGAGAUCCGCCGGUUUUGACACCGACAUUGGUGCCUUCAUUGAGAGUUCCUCUGUGUCAUCAUCAUUAGGCUUGAUGGCUCCUUCGAUCAUCGACAGCGAUGCAGUACAGGGUGAGACUUUUCUCCUCGGAUAGAUCUUUGUAUUUGGCGGUUUCGCACUACGUGCCAACUCGCUUGGCCAUCUGGAGCAGAUCGACAGUUACGCCCCUGGCCACCAGGUCUGGUUUGGAAGCUUAAAUUACACGGCUGACAUCCGCGGAGACUUGAUCUUUGACGGAUUCGAGCCCCUGCCGAGUACGCUGCACGGUCACGAUGAGCAUGAUUUAGCUCUACCGUCGGAAAAUGUGCAGGAGAUCGCACCGGCAACCGCUCCGACCCUCAAUUCGGAGCCGAUUGUGCCAUCCACGGAUGGGGGGAUAGACCCCACCACGGAGGCCGCAUUCUCAGUGGUGAUCGAGCCGAGUAUUGACCUUACGCUUCACGAGAGCCUUGAUGCCAAAUUGCCGGAUUCUUCCCCGGCCACGGACUCCGAACCGCUUGAGCCCGUGCCUAUCGAAUCCGACUGGGCACCGAUCAUGGAGUUCACCUCCGCGGAUAUCUUUCGGCACUCGCCCUUCGGCGACAUGCUGAACUCAUUAAGGUCUCUCUCCCUGUCAGGAGAGUCCUGACCGAACUAUUUUCGGCAGGAUUGGGAUGCGGAUGACAAAGAAAUUCGCCGCCCACCCACCACCCACUUAGUAGCCACUGUCGACAAUUUAACCAACAUGCUCAACUUCGACUCCGAAGACAUCGACAGUAUGGACGACGAUGCGGGAGACGAAGAGGAACCACUACCCACAGGGCACUGGACAGCCACCUCGUCAUAUGAUAUAUACAUGGUGGACACACCCAAAGAAGGCAAUGGCGACGGGACAGCGGAGGAUGACCCCUCCAAGAAGCAACCCAAGCGCUGACGUCAGCGGCGCCACUCUAAGUCUCGCCAAAGCAAAAGCGGUGACACCGGCACAGGAGAUAAUAGCACCCCGGAUAGUGCCGAAGAUGACAACAAUCCCCUCCAGCAAGAUUCAGAGCAGGAGGAUGGAGAAGCCAGCCCUCCCGAGAGAGCGACAUAUGAAGAGGCGGAGGACGAUAAUUACAUGCCUCCCUCCGAAGACGAGGCAAGCCUCGACAAUGACGAAUUUGUCGUGCCGGAGGAUCCCGCCGAGCAAGAGCGCUUCAAGUGCCGGCUUAUAGCCACGGAAAAUAGCCUUAAGAAAAAGCAGCAGCAGCUUCAAGCUGAUCAAGAUUUGCUAGCUGAUAGAUGGACUGAAGUCCUUGCGGCCGAGGAAUAUGAACUCGAACGCCCCUCCAAGAGUUACCGAAAGCGCUGGUUGCUACGCCGACUGGAGGAGGAAGCAUUAAAACCUACAUCUCCAGCAUAUGACGUGGCUGAUCGGCCACCUCAUGGCCGCGACAGAGAGGCAUUUCAGCCAAAAACUCAACCCGCACCCCGACGCCACUCAAAUAAAAAUGACAAGGCACGGGGAAACUAAAGGAAAUAUGCCCUAGAGGCAAUAAUAAAGUUAUUAUUUAUUUCCUUAUAUCAUGAUAAAUGUUUAUUAUUCAUGCUAGAAUUGUAUAAACCGGAAAUGUAAUACUUAUGUAAAUACAUAGACAAACAAAGCGUCACUAGUAUGCCUCUACUUGACUAGCUCGUUAAUCGAAGAUGGUUAUGUUUCCUAACCAUAGACAUGAGUUGUCAUUUGAUUAACGUGAUCACAUCAUUAGGAGAAUGAUGUGAUUGACAUGACCCAUUCCAUUAGCUUAGCACCCGAUCAUUUAGUAUGUUGCUAUUGCUUUCUUCAUGACUUAUACAAGUUCCUAUGACUAUGAGAUUAUGCAACUCCCGUUUACCGGAGGAACACUUUGUGUGCUACCAAACGUCACAACGUAACUGGGUGAUUAUAAAGGUGCUCUACAGGUGUCUCCAAAGGUACAUGUUGGGUUGGCGUAUUUCGAGAUUAGGAUUUGUCGCUCCGAUUGUCGGAGAAGUAUCUCCGGGCCCUCUCGGUAAUACACAUCACUUAAGCCUUGCAAGCAAUGCAACUAAUAAGUUAGAUGCAAGAUGAUGUAUUAUGGAACGAGUAAAGAGACUUGCCGGUAAAGAGAUUGAACUAGGUAUUGAGAUACCGACGAUCGAAUCUCCGGCAAGUAACAUACCGAUGACAAAGGGAACAACGUAUGUUGUUAUGCGGUCUGACUGAUAAAGAUCUUCGUAGAAUAUGUAGGAGCCAAUAUGAGCAUCCAGGUUCCACUAUUGGUUAUUGACCGGAGACAUGUCUCGGUCAUGUCUACAUUGUUCUCGAACCCGUAGGGUCCGCACGCUUAAUGUUACGAUGACAGUUUCAUUAUGAGUUUAUAUAUUUUGAUGUACUGAAGGUUGUUCGGAGUCCCGGAUGUGAUCACAGACUUGAUGAGGAGUCUCGAAAUGGUCGAGACAUAAAGAUCGAUAUAUUGGACGACUAUAUUUGGACACCGGAAAGGUUCCGGGUAAGAUUGGGACAAUACCGGAUCACCGGGAGGUUAUCGGAACCCCCCGGGACGUGUAUGGGCCUUAUUGGGCCUUAGUGGAAAGGAGGGGAAAGGAGCAAGGGAGGGGGCGCCCCCCCCCAAGCCCAAUCCGAAUUGGGAGGGGGGCCGCCCCCCUUUCCUUCCUUCCUCCUUCCUCUUCCUUCCCUCUCCUACUCCUAAUAGGAAAAAGGGGAGUCCUACUCCCGGUGGGAGUUGGACUCCCCCCCUUGGGCGCGCCACCCUCCUUGGCCGGCACCCUCCUCCACUCCUUUAUAUACGGGGGCAAGGGGCACCCCAGAGACACAACAAUUGAUCAUUGAUAUCUUAGCCGUGUGCGGUGCCCCCCUCCAUCAUAAUCCUCGAUAAUAUUGUAGCGGUGCUUAGGCGAAGCCCUGCGGCGGUAGAACAUCAAGAUCGUCACCACGCCGUCGUGCUGACGGAACUCAUCCCCGACACUUUGCUGGAUCGGAGUCCGGGGAUCAUCAUCGAGCUGAACGUGUGCAAAAACUUGGAGGUGCCGUAGUUUCGGUGCUUGAUCGGUCGGGCCGUGAAGACGUACGACUACAUCAACCGCGUUGUUAUAAUGCUUCUGCUUCCGGUCUACGAGGGUACGUAGACAACACUCUCCCCUCUCGUUGUUGUCCAUCACCAUGAUCUUGCAUGUGCGUAGGAAUUUUUUUGAAAUUACUACGUUCCCCAACAGAAACACGCUAGAUCUGCGAGACGUAUUGGAGGACAAAGCAAAACAUGCAAGAUCGAUCUACGAAUCACGAGGGCGUGCCACUACGCGAGACGAUAACCGUCACGCCGGAUACAGUAAAAGUAAAUCCGACCGGGCCGAACACAGCGGACAAGACUCAUUCGAGCUGCGUCGCGACAUAGCCCACUACAGAGGCGCCGCACACCCCAUAUGCUUCACAGACGAAGUAAUGGAUCACCAAAUCCUAGAGGGUUUCAAACCCGUAAAUAUCAAAUCAUACGACGGCACAACAAAUCCUGCAGUAUGGAUCGAAGACUUCCUCCUGCACAUCCACAUGGCCCGCGGUGAUGAUCUACACGCCAUCAAAUACCUCCCACUGAAGCUCAAAGGACCAGCUCGGCAUUGGCUCAACAGCCUGCCAGCAGAAUCCAUUAGCUGUUGGGAAGAUCUGGAAGCCGCAUUCCUCGACAACUUCCAGGGCACUUAUGUGCGACCACCAGAUGCCAAUGACUUGAGCCACAUAAUUCAGCAGCCAGAGGAAUCGGCCAGGCAAUUCUGGACACGGUUCCUGACAAAGAAAAAUCAAAUUGUCGACUGUUCGGAUGUAGAGGCCCUAGCAGCUUUUAAGCACAACAUCCGCGAUGAGUGGCUCGCCCGGCACCUUGGCCAGGAAAAGCCGAAAUCUAUGGCAGCCCUCACGACACUCAUGACCCGCUUUUGCGCGGGAGAAGACAGCUGGCUGGCUCACAGCAAUAACAUAUCAAAGAACCACGUUACUUCAGAUACCAAGGAUAGCAAUGGCAGGUCACGCCGCAACAAACAUAAGCGUCACGUCAAUAACGACAAUGUCGAGGAUACUGCAGUCAAUGCCGGAUUCAGAGGCUCUAAACCCGGUCAGCGGAAAAAGCCAUUCAAAAGAAGCACUACGGGCCCAUCCAGUUUGGUCUGUAUACUCGAUUGCUCGUGCCAAAUACAUGGCACCCCCGACAAGCCAGCCAACCACACAAACAGGGAAUGUUGGGUGUUCAAGCAGGCCGGCAAGUUAAACGCCGAAAACAAAGAUAAGGGGUACAUAGCGAUGACGAGGAAGAGCCCCGGCAGCCGAACACCGGAGGAUAGAAGAGGUUCCCCCCACAAGUGCGGACGGUGAACAUGAUAUACGCAACCCACAUCCCAAGAGGGAGCGGAAGCGUGCGUUAAGGGAUGUAUAUGCGUUGGAGCCAGUCGCCCCAGAGUUCAACCCAUGGUCCUCCUAUCCGAUCACCUUCGAUCGUAGGGACCACCCCACUUGUAUCCGUCAUGGAAGAUUCGCCGCACUGGUCCUAGACCCAAUCAUCGACGGAUUUCACCUCACUCGAGUCCUUAUGGACAGCGGCAGCAUCCUGAACCUGCUUUAUCAAGACACAAUGCGCAAAAUGGGUAUAGACCCCUCAAGGAUCAAACCCACAAAAACAACCUUCAAAGGCGUCAUACCAGGUGUAGAGUCCCAUUGCACAGGCUCAGUCACACUGGAAGUGGUCUUCGGAUCCCUGGAUAACUUCUGAAGCGAGGAGUUAAUCUUCGAUAUAGUCCCGUUCCGCAGUGGCUAUCAUGCACUGCUCGGGCGAACCGCAUUUGCGAGAUUCAACGCGGUACCGCACUAUGCAUAUCUCAAGCUCAAGAUGCCAGGACCUCGGGGGGUCAUCACAAUCAAUGGAAACACAGAGCGCUCUCUCCGCACGGAGGAGCACACUGCGGCCCUCGCAGUAGAAGUGCAAAGCAGCCUCUUAACGCAAUCCACCAGUUUGGCGAUUAAAGACCCGGAGUAAUCGGCAACAAGACCAACUGGCAUGUUCCGAGCUCGCAUAGCAAUGCGGCCCCCACCCCAGUCCUAGCAAAACGGCGAAAUCCGUGCCACGCAUACAUAAUUACACAUUGAAAAUACCAUGGGCACAUGUGGGGAGGGGGGCACGACUACGGCACGCCCCAAGACGCGGCUCAACCGCACUAGGGGCUUCCCGCUUUGUUAUUUUUCUCUCUUUCAGGACGUUAAUCUCUGGAAACCCCGUCCGGCAGUACGAUUGCUGGACACACGAUGCAACAACCAAGGAGGGAGAAAGCUACAUCGUACCACGGAACUCCCAGGUGGUCUCUGAUAACGAGUGAAAUACUUGCUUCAAAUACCAUUCCUCAGGUUGCCCUUGGAGGGGACAUGUCAAAUAGUCCUACUUUUUUCUUAUCGCACUACUUGUAUCAUUCUGCUUCGACGCACCUUUUUGAAUAAACAAUGCAUAACACUAGACUAUUACAACAUUCUCUAUUCUUCUUUAUAUAUAUAUAUAUGUUCAUUCACAACAUUCAGCACCCGUACACUUUGGUACGGCCAAUAUGUCAGGGGCUUAAGCGUAACCCAUAAUACGGCGUGAGAAGUUCGAACACUUUCAAUAGUGCGGCACCCCGAACUUAUAGCAUUAUAUGCAUUAGCUCCGAAUCAUGUCUUGGGUCAAUAGUUGGGUUUGCCUGGCUCCGAUGUUUUGGUACCUUACAUUCCGCUAUCUCGGCUAAGGUAGCACUGGGAGAACUACUGCGAUUGUGCCCCGGUUCAUCUGGGCAAGCACCUCAGUAGAGAAAGCUAAAACUGGCUGUCAUGAUAAGGCGAGGGCUAGUCGCUGUUCGAGAGGUCUCGAGUGCCUAAAGACUUAUGCCGCUUAGAGCGAGGAGUCGGCUUUGUCCGGCUUAAGGCGUGUAUAGCGCCCCGAAUUCGGCCUUCCGAAUAUUAGGGUGUCGGUGUCAAAACCGGCGGAUCUCGGAUAGGGGGUCCCGAACUGUGCGUCUAAGGCGGAUGGUAACAGGAGGCAGGGGACACGAAGUUUUACCCAGGUUCGGGCCCUCUUGAUGGAGGUAAAACUCUAUGUCCUGCUUGAUUAAUAUUGAUGAUAUGGGUAGUACAAGAGUAGAUCUACCACGAGAUCAGGGAGGCUAAACCCUAGAAGUUAGCCUAUGGUAUGAUUGUAUGUUCUUGUUCUGUCCUACGGACUAAAACCCUCCGGUUUAUAUAGACACUGGAGAUGGUUAGGGUUACACAAGGUCGGUUACAAAGGAAGAUAUAUCCAUAUCCGUACUGCCAAGCUUGACUUCCAUGCCAAGUAGAGUCCCAUCCGGACACGAGACGAAGUCUUCAAUCUUGUAUCUUCAUAGUCCAACAGUCCGGCCAAAGGAUAUAGUCCGGCUGUCUAGAGACCCCCCCAAUCCAGGACUCCCUCAGUAGCCCCUGAACCAGGCUUCAAUGAUGAUGAGUCCGGCGCGUAGUAUUGUCUUCGACAUUGCAAGGCGGGUUCCUCCCCCGAAUACACCACGGAAGAAUUUGAAUACAAGGAUAGUGUCCGACCCUGCAAAAUAAGUUCCAGAUACCACCGUAGAGAGAAUAAUAUUUCCAAAAAUCUAAUUUGCUGACUUGUUUUGGCAGCACGACAUUAUGUCAUGGCCCGGUGAUUAUUCGAACCGUUUCCUUUAACUAGUCCCGCACAUAAUGUGAGGCAGUUUUUUGACACGUCUUGUCAAAGAAGAGAUCGUGUCCCCUUAUUACGGGAUUCUCAUCAAUACGGGCGUGGGUAACCCAACCGCGCCAUCGAUUACGGUGCUUGGGGGAUAAGCGAGUUUUACCAGGCUAGUGGGGAUGCAUAGUUUCGUCCGCCCAUAUAAAGGGAUAAGGAUUUACUUUUUCAUCCACGCCUUCUUCCUCCUUUGCUCAUCCAUUUUCGCACACUCAAGCUCCAACAGCCAAGUCCACAUCCUUUCCCUCAACCUUCUCCAAACAUGUUCGGAGCGGGAGGCAAAUGGAUGGCUUCCUCCGUUACGGAGGGACAUAUCAAGAAGCUGCACAGAGCCAGAUACUUAGCCGCGAAUAUCGCGCAUCGGCUGCCUGCUGCAGGGCAGAUCGUCCCUACCCCGGAGCCACACGAGAGCGUAGUUUUCCUCCACCACUUCUUCCGCGGACUGGGGUUUCCCCUCCAUCCAUUCAUCCGUGGUCUCAUGUUCUACUACGGGAUGGACUUUCAUGAUCUGGCCCCGAACUUUGUACUCAACAUUUCGGCGUUCAUCGUCGCGUGUGAGGCUUUCCUCCGCAUUCGGCCCCACUUCGGUCUGUGGUUAAAGACCUUCAAUAUCAAGCCGAAGGUGGUGGGAGGCCAACAAGCAGAAUGCGGCGGAGCCAUGGUGGGCAAGAUGCCCAAUGUUAUAUGGCUUGAAGGCUCCUUUGUGGAGACCAUAAAGGGGUGGCAAUCGGCGUGGUUCUACAUCACCGAGCCGCGCGACGCCAAAUGGGCGGCGACCCCCGAGUUUCGAUCCAGAUUCCCUACAUGGCUCACUUCCUAGAAAGAGAAGGGCUUGUCGUGGGGUUCAUCGGUGGAGCUGGAUGGACUCCGGAAAUGUAUCCGGAGUAUGGCAAGCAAGAAGCUCAAGCUUGUCAACAUAGUCCAGGUCAUGCUCAUCCGCCGGAUCCUCCCAUGUCAACAACGGGAUUUUAACUUGUGGGAGUUCGACCCAGCCCAGCACCAGACUCUGAGCGAGCUCUUCGAUAUGAUGCACAAGGACGUCUGGAAGGUGUUGUUCAAGGGCACCGAGGUCCCUCCUUCUCUCUCCGAGGACCGUGGGCUAAGUGCAAAGCGCCUAGCACGUUCGGUGAGUUCAAUACAUCCUGUAGGAUAUUUAUUUCCCCUAGCUUAAUCACGUGCGGGGUCUGACCUUCAUGCCUUUGACAGGACUGGGUGGAGACAUCGGGGCAGAUUAACUGUCCGGCCCCUUUGCCCGAAGACACUGCGGGCGCUCUCCUGACGGAGAUGCAGACACCGGCUCCUUACACGGUGCCGGAGAAGACCAAGAAGGCCAAGGGAACCCGAAAGAGUUCCUGACGCCAUGCGUCAUCGGACUCACCGGCCGAUGACUCUACGGCACACUCCUCCCCCGAAGACGAGGAUGAAGAAGAAGAUGCUCCCCCUUCAGUUGGGGGAGAUAAGAAAAGGAAGGCCGCCCCAACUGGGGAGGCCAGAGGGUCCAAGAAGGGAAGGGUUCUCCUUCCGGACAGUUCCACCACCGCCGCCGAAGGCGAAGACGAGUGGUUACCCAGGGCCAAGCCCCUGGGGAGGUCGUAAGUAUUCGGAUACCAGAGUAACUCAUAGUAUCCUUUUGUGCACCGCUUCCCCUAACGCCGAAUAUGAUUAUGCAGGCCGCCACGAGCCCGUAUCGAUGUACCGUCGGACGGCUCCCUGGGCUCGUCGGAUAUGGAUAGCGAUCCACUUCCGACCGCCACCUCCCCUUGCCCUACGGACGACACCGAGGUAUUGUCUCAAGAGGCACUGGGUCGAGGGGAGACAGUCCCGAAGGCACCUCAAGGUGACCUUCCAGACUCCGGGGGCAGAGGGGACAAGGCCCCUGAGGGCUCCGGGUUUGGCCCUCAGCCGAACACCGUGCCGGAACCUCCAGUGGUUCUAGACUCGGGCAGACGGCCUCCUUCCAAGAGGGGCAGGACGCCUGUGCCGGUGACCUCUGUCCAUCGAGAGGCGCCGGACAAUCUGCUGGAAGCGCUUCGCAACGCUUCCAUCGACGAGGAGCACCGUACUAUUAUGAGUGCGGUGGUCCAGAAGGUUCAGUCCGCCAAGAGCGGAUUGACUGAAGCCUGUGCCAGCCUUCUAACAAGCUUUGAGGUAAGUGUUAAAAUAUAGGAAAAAUAUUACCGCAUAGAUAGUAGCCCCUGAUGCUCUGUUAGGUGUUCACAAAGAAAAGCCGAACAGAGGAUGAAACAACAUCGCAGGAGUCUAAUAUAAGUAUUUCAAUAUGCGUAUGUAGGCUUCGCUGCUGGCAUCUGCCGCACUGACUGUGGAGGUCGCCGCACUGAAGUAGGACCUUAAAGGGUCCAAGGACGAGCUCGGCCUUGCCAAGAGGCAGCUCGAGGAGAACAAAGGUAAGUAAUACCCUGUCUAUAGAUAUGUAUAUAUAAAAGAAGACGUGAUUGCAAAAUGACAGGAUCAUCGUAUGUUUGCCAGGGGCCGCGACCGAAGUGGCGACCCUAAAGAAAGUGUUGUCCAAGGCCGAAGAUAAAGCGGCCAAGGAGCACACCGAGCGGGAAAAGCAAGAGGCUCGGGUGGGCGAGGUGCAGCAAGAGUUCCAGGCUCUCAUGACGAAGCACGAGGCGUUUGAGCUUGACUCGAAGACGCGAGAGUCUGAGCUUGCCGCGGCCCUUGAGAGCGCAAAAAGUGCCAAGGCCGAAGCCCAAAAGGCCCUCUAAGAGAUUGACGCGAUGAAGAAAAUAGCGGCGGGUAAGGCAUUCUAUAUGCAAAGCAAGCAUGUGAAAAUAAAUUACCUAUUACUUACCCGAAUCCGGAGCUCUCCAGGAGAAUUCGCAGAUUUGCCCCGCAGCGUGUCGGAUGCCGCAUAGUUUUACCAGGCCGAGGAGGGAAGCUCAACAGAGAAGCUGUUCUGGUCUCAGUAUACUGGGACCGAACACCCGGUGCCUAUGAGCGACCAGCUGAAGCAGCUGGUCGAGCUACACAAAGCGGCCGAACAGGCCAUGAAGGGCUUUAUAGUCCGGCUGUGGCCUGGCGACGCCCUUCCGAACAGCUACUUCGGCCUGGUGAGGCGGCUUGUGGACGCCUGCCCACGGCUGGAGGUCGUCAAGCGGUCUGUGUGCACCGAAGGUGCACGCCGGGCUUUCGCCCGCGUGAAGGUGCAACGGGACAAACUAGAUGUCGUGAGGCUGAUCAAGGGGGACCGCCGCAGCGCAAGGAGCAUCGCAACCCCGAAAUUUAUUAUGAGGGUGUCCUGAAGGGUGCCCAUCUUGUAGCGGAUGAAUGUUCAAAUGAUGUAAUAUUUGAGUAAACUUGCUCGUGUGAUCCUGUAUGAUGAAAACUUGUUUCAUAUGUGCUAUGCAACGCUUGUUUGAAUUUAAAAUAUUACCUUCUGUUUGGCUGUUUAUCCAAUCUAAGAGAUGGCUAGUCCUCGGCUUCUGCCCCCAUGCCGCGAGUGCUGGGGUGUUCGGGAUAAACCUGAGCACCCUUGUUCCCAUGUUUGGGUCCUUCGAGGGAGGUGCUCAGCACAGCGAACAAGGCAACCAGACUAAUAAUGCUUUAUCACUCUCACUUAGCCAUAGAAUUCUAUAAUUUUAAAUUUCGGUGAAGCCCCAGGUAUUCGGAAAGUCGAAUUCAGGGCGCGAUACACGCCUUUAAGCCGGUUAGGACCAGCUCCUCGCUCCAAGCGGCAUAAGUCUUUAGGGACUCGAAACCUUGCCGAACAGCGACCAGUCUCUCACCUUAUCAUGACAGUCAGUUUUAGCUUUCUCUACUGAGGUGCUUAGCCCAGUAGAACCAGGGCACAAUCGCAGUAGCUCUCCUAGUGCUACCUUAGCCGAUAGAGCGGAACGUAAGGUGCCAAAACAUAGGAGCUGGGCAAACCCAACAUUUGACCAAAGACAUGAUUCGGAGCUGAUGCAUAUAAUGCCAUAAGUUCCGGGUGCCGCACUUGUGAAAGUGUUCAGACUUCUCACACCAUAUUGUGGGGUACUUAAGCCCCUAGUGUGUUGGCCGUACCCAAGUGUACGGUUGCAAGGUGUCAUUAAUGAACACAUAUAUAUAUAACAAGAAUGCAAUAAUAGUCGUAAUGUUAUGCGUUGUUUAUUCAAAGAGGUGCGUUAAAGCAGAAUGAUACAGAUAGUGUGAUAAGAAAAAAGUAGGACUAUGUCCCUUCCAAGGGCAAGCUGAGGAAUAGUAUUAAAGCAAAUAUUUCACUCGUUAUCGUAAUCCACCUGGGAGUUCUGUGGUGUGACGUAGCUUUCUGCCUCUCUUGGUUGCUGCAUCAUGUGUUCAGCAAUCAUGCUGCCGGACAAGGUUUCCAGAGAUUAAAGUCCUGAAAGAGAAAAAUAACAAAGCGGGAAGCCCCUAGUGUGGUUUAGGCUGCCUCUUGGAGCGUGUCGUAGUUGUGCCCCUCCCGCACUUGUGCCCAUGAUAUUUUUAAUGCGUAAUUAUGUACGCAUGGCACGAAUUUGCCGCUUGGUUGGGACUGGGGUGGGGGCCGCAUUGCUACAUGGGCUCAGAUCGUGCCAGGCGGUCUAGAUGUCGAUUACUCCGAGCGCGCUUGAAGGUGUCCGGGUCUUGAGACGCCGAACUGGUGGAUUGCCUUGAGAGGCUGCUUUGCGCUUCUACUGCGAGGGCCGCAGUGUGCUCCUCCGUUCGGAGAGAGCUCUCUAUUUUUUCAUUAACCGUAAUAACUCCAGGAGGUCCUGGCAUCUUGAGCUUAAGGUACGCAUAAUGAGGUACCGCAUUGAACUCGCAAAUACGGUUCGCCCGAGCAGUGCAUGAUAACCACUGCGGAACGGGACUAUAUCGAAGAUUAAUUCUUUGCUUCGGGAGUUAUUCGGGGAUCCGAAGACCACUUCCAGUGUAAUUGAGACUGUGCAAUGGGCCUCUACACCUGGAAUGACGCCUUUAAAGGUCAUUUUUGUGGGUUUGAUCCUUGAGGGGUCUAUACCCAGUUUAAGCACUGUGUCCUGGUAAAGCAGGUUCAGGCUGUUGCCGCCAUCCAUAAGGACUCGAGUGAGGUGAAAUCCGUCAAUGAUUGGGUCUAAGACUAGUGCGGCGAAUCCGCCGUGACGGAUACUAGUGGGGUGGUCCCUGCGAUCGAAGGUGAUUGGGCAGGAGGACCAUGGGUUGAACUUUGGGGCGACUGGCUCCAAUGCAUAUAUGUCCCUGAGCGCACGCUUCCGCUCCCUCUUGGGGAUGUGGGUUGUGUAUAUCAUGUUCACCGUCCGCACUUGUGGGGGGAACCUCUUUUGUACUCCGGUGUUCGGCUGCCGGGGCUCUUCCUCGUCAUCGCUAUGUGGCCCCUUAUCUUUGUCUUAGGCAAUUAGCUUGCCGGCCUACUUGAAAACCCAACAAUCCCUGUUGGUGUGGUUGGCUGGCUUGUCGGGGGUGCCGUGUAUUUGACAUGAGCGAUCGAGUAUACGGUCCAAACUGGACGGUCCCGGAGUGCUUCUUUUGAAUGGCUUUUUCCGCUGACCGGGUUUAGAGCCUUUGAAUCCAGCAUUGACUGUCGUAUCUUCAGUAUUAUUGCUGUUAAUGCGGCGCUUAUGUUUGUUGCGACGUGACCUGCUAUUGCCGUCCUUGGUAUCCGAAGUACCAUGGUUCUUUGACAUAUUAUUACUGUGAGCCAGCCAGUUGUCUUCUCCCGCACAAAAGUGGGUCGUGAGUGUCGUGAGGGCUGCCAUAGAUUUCGGCUUUUCCUGACCAAGGUGCCGGGCUAGCCACUCGUCGCGAAUGUUGUGUUUGAAAGCUACUAAGGCCUCUGCAUCCGAACAGUCGACGAUUUGAUUUUUCUUUGUUAGAAACCGAGUCCAGAAUUUUCUGGCCGAUUCUUCUGGCUAUUGAAUUAUGUGGCUCAAGUCAUCGGCAUCUGGUGGUCGCACAUAAGUGCCCUGAAAGUUGUCGAGGAAUGCGGCUUCCAGAUCUUCCCAACAGCUAAUGGACUCUGCUGGCAGGCUGUUAAGCCAAUGCCGCGCUGGUCCUUUGAGCUUUAGUGGGAGGUAUUUGAUGGCGUGUAAGUCAUCACCGCGGGCCAUGUGGAUGUGGAGGAGGUAAUCCUCGAUCCAUACCGCGGGAUCUGUUGUGCCGUCGUAUGAUUCAAUAUUUACAGGUUUGAAACCUUCUGGGAUUUGAUGACCCAUUACUUCAUCUGUGAAGCAUAAGGGGUGUGCGGCGCCUCAGUAUUGGGCUAUAUCGUGACGCAACUCGAAUGGGUCUUGCCCGCUGUGUUCGGCCUGGCCAGAUUUAGUUUUACGGUAUCUGGCAUGACGUUUAUCGUCUCGCAUAGUGGCGCGCCCUCGUGAUCCGUUGAUCGAUCUUGCAUGUUUUGCUUUGUCCUCCAAUACGUCUCGCAGGUCUGGUGUGUUUCCCCAUGCUUUUUUAUUUGAAUGGCGUUGGGGUGUGGGCUGAGUUUUUUGCUGGAAUGCCUCUCUAUCACGACCACGAGGUGGUCGAUCAGCCGCGUCAUAUGCUUCUUCCUCCAGUCGAGGUAGCAACCUGCAUUUUGGGUAACUCUUGGAGGGGCGCUCGAGUUUAUAUUCCUCGGCCGCGAGGAAUUCAGUCCAUCUGUCAGCUAGCAGAUCUUGAUCAGCUUGAAGCUGCUGCUGCUUUUUCUUAAGGCUAUUUGCCGUGGCCAUAAGCCGACGCUUGAAGUGCUGUUGUUCGACGGGAUCCUCUGGCACAGCGAAUUUGUCAUCGCCGAGGCUUGCCUCGUCUUCGGAGGGGGGCAUGUAAUUAUCAUCCUCCGCUUCUCCAUCUGCCGCUCUCUCAGGAGGGUUGGCUCUUCCAUCCUCCUGCUCAAACUCUUGCUGGAGGGGUUAAUGUUGUCUUCGGUACUAUCCGGAGUGUUAUUACCUCCUGUGCCGGUAUCACCACUUUUUCUUUGGCGGGACUUAGAGCGGCGCCGCUGACAUCGGCGUUUGAGUUGCUUCUUGGAGGGGUCAUCCUCUGCUGUCUCGUCGCCAUUGCCUUUUUUGGGUGUAUGCACCAUGUAUAUAUCGUAUGAUGAGGUGGCUGUCCAGUGCCCUGUGGGAAGUGGUUCCUCUUCGUCUCCCGCAUCGUCGUCCAUACCGUUGAUGUCUUCGGAGUCGAAGUCGAGCAUGUCGGUUAAGUCAUCGACAGUGGCUACUAAGUGGGUGGUGGGUGGGCCUCGAAUUUCUUCUCGUCUGCAUCCCAGUCCUGCCGGACAUACUUCGGCUAGGAUCCUCCUGACAAGGAGAGGGACCUUAAUGAGUUCAGUAUGUCUCCAAAGGGCGAGUGUUGAAAGAUAUCCGCAGAGGUAAACUCCAUGAUCGGCGCCCAAUCGGAUUCGAUAGGAACGGGCGCAGGCGGUUCGGAGUCCGUGGCCGGAGAAAGAUCUGGCAGUUUAACAAUACGGCUCUCGUGCAAGGUAAGGUCGAUGUUCGGCUCGAUCGCCGCUGAGGGUAAGGCCUUUGUGGAAGGGUCCAUCCACCCGUCCAUGGAUGGUGCAACUGGCUCCGAAUUGAGGGUCAGAGCGGCUGCCGGUGCGAUCUCCUGAACAUUGUCUGAUGUUAGAGCUAAAUCGUACUCAUCGUGACUGUGUGAUGCACAAGGCAGAGGCUCGAAUCCAUCGAAGAUCAAGUCUCCACGGACAUUGGCCGUGUAGUUUAAGCUUCCAAACCUGACCUGGUGGCCAGGGGCGUAGCUUUAAAUCUGCUCCAAAUGGCCAAGCGAAUUGGCCCGUAGUGUAAAGCCGCCAAACACAAAGAUCUGUCCGGGGAGGAAAGUCUCACCCUGGACUGCAUCGCUAUCAAUGAUAGUAGGAGCCAUCAAGCCUAACGGCGACGACACAGAGGAACUCUCAAUGAAAGCACCAAUGUCGGUGUCAAAACCGGCGGAUCUCGAGUAGGGGGUCCCGAACUGUGCGUCUAAGGCGGAUGGUAACAGGAGGCAGGGGACACAAGGUUUUAUCCAGGUUCGGGCCCUCUUGAUGGAGGUAAAACCCUGCGUCCUGCUUGAUUAAUAUUGAUGAUAUGGGUAGUACAAGAGUAGAUCUACCACGAGAUCAGAGAAGCUAAACCCUAGAAGCUAGCCUAUGGUAUGAUUGUAUGUUCUUGUUCUGUCCUACGGACUAAAACCCUCCGGUUUAUAUAGACAGCGGAGAGGGUUAGGGUUACACAAGGUCAGUUACAAAGGAAGAUAUAUCCAUAUCCGUACUGUGUAGCUUGCCUUCCAUGCCAAGUAGAGUCCCAUCCGGACAUGAGACGAAGUCUUCAAUCUUGUAUCUUCAUAGUCCAACAGUCCGGCCAAAGGAUAUAGUCCGGCUGUCCGGAGACCCCCCAAUCCAGGACUCCCUCAUAGGGGCUUCACCAAAAUUAAAAAUUGUAGAGUUCUAUGGCUAAGUGAGAGUGAUAAAGCAUUAUAGUCUGAUUGCCUUGUUCGUUGUGCUGAGCACCUCCCUCGAAGGACCCAACAGUGGGAAAAAGAAUGCUCAGAUUUAUCCCGAACACCCCAGCACUUAGGGCAUGGUGGCACAAGCCGACGACUGGCCAUCUCUCAAAUUUAAUAAACAGCCGCACAAAAGGAAUAUUUUAAAUUCAAGCAAGCGUUGCAUAUCGCAUAUGAACAAGUUUUCAUAAUACAGCAUCACACAAGCAAGUUCAUUCAAAAAUUACAUCCUUCGCACACUCGUCCGCCACAAGACGGGCACCCUUUAGGACACCCUCAUAAUACAUUUCGGGUGGCGAUGCUCCUUGCCCUGCGGCGGCCCUUCUUCACUAGCUUCUCGGCGUCCAUCUUGGCCCAGUGCACCUUCGCACGGGGAAAAGCCCGGCGGGCACCUUCGAUGCAGACGGGCCGCUUGAUGACUUCCAGCCAGGGGUAGACGUCCACAAGCCGCCUCACCAGGCCGAAGUAGCUGUUGGGAAGGGAGUCGCCAGGCCACAUCCGGACUAUAAGGCCCCUCAUGGCCUGUUCGGCCGCCUUGUGCAGCUCGACCAGUUGCUUCAGUUGGUCGCUCAUAGGCAUUGGGUGUUCGGUCCCAGUAUACUGAGACCAGAACAACUUCUCUGUCGAGCUUCCCUCCUCGGCCUGGUAAUAUUUUGCGGCAUCCGACACGCUGAGGGGAAAAUCUGCGAAUACUCCUGGAGAGCUCCGGACUCGUGUAAGUAACAAGUAAUUUACUUUCACAUGCUUGCUUUGCAUAUUGAAUGCCUUACCCGCCGCUAUCCUCCUCAUCACCUCAAUUUCUUGGAGGGCCUUUUGGGCUUCAGCCUUGGCAUGUUUUGUGCUCUUGAGGGCCGCGGCAAGCUCGGACUCUCGUGUCUUCGAGUCAAGCUCCAAAGUCUCGUGCUUCUUCACGAGAGCUUGGAGCUCUUGCUGCACCUCGCCCACCCAUGCCUCUUGUUUCUCCUGCUCGGUGCGCUCCUCGGCCGCUUUGUUUUCGGCCUCAGACAGCGCUCGCUUCAGGGUCGCCACUUCGGUCGUGGCCCCUGGCACAUCCAUGAUGAUCCUAUCAUUUUGCAACCACACAUUUUUUUAUAUAUAGACAAGGUAUUACUUACCUUUGUUCUCCUCGAGCUGCCUCUUGGCAAGGCCGAGCUCUUUCUCGGACCGCUCGAGGUCCUGCUUCAGUGUAGCGACCUCCGCAGUCAGUGCGGCAGAGGUCAGCAGCGAAGCCUGCAUACGCAUACAGACAUACUUAUAUUAGACUCCUGCAGAUAUUAUUUGAUCCUCUAUUCGGCUUUUCUUUGUGAACACCAAAUAGAGCAUCAGGGGCUACUCUCUAUGCGGUAAUAUUUUCCUAUAUUUUAAAUACUUACCUCAAAGCCUGUUAGAAGGCUGGCACAGGCUUCAGUCAGUCUGCUCUUGGCAGACUGAACCUUCUUGAUCACCGCACUCAUAAUAGUGUGGUGCUCUUCGUCGAUGGAAGCGCCGCGAAGCGCUCCCAGCAGGUUGUCCGGUGCCUCUGGAUGGAUAGAGGUCACUGGCACGGGCGGCUUGCCCCUUGUCGGUGUCAAAAUUGGCGGAUCUCGGGUAGGGGGUCCCGAAAUGUGCGUCUAGGCCGGAUGGUAACAGGAGGCAAGGGACACGAAGUUUUACCCAGGUUCGGGCCCUCUCGAUGGAGGUAAAACUCUACGUCAUGCUUGAUUAAUAUUGAUGAUAUGGGUAGUACAAGAGUAGAUCUACCAUGAGAUCAGAGAGGCUAAACCCUAGAAGCUAGCCUAUGGUAUGAUUAUUGAUGUGUAUGUUCUCCUACGGACUAAAACCCUCCGGUUUAUAUAGACACCGGAUAGGGUUAGGGUUACAUAGAGUCGGUUACAAUGGUAGGAGAUCUGAAUAUCCGUAUCGCCAAGCUUGCCUUCCACGCCAAGGAAAGUCCCUUCCGGACACGGGACAAAGUCUUCAAUCUUGUAUCUUCAUAGUCCAGGAGUCCGGCUGAAGGUAUCGUUCGGCUAUCCGAACACCCCCUAAUCCAGGACUCCCUCAGUAGCCCCCGAACCAGGCUUCAAUGACAAUGAGUCCGGCGCGCAGAUUGUCUUCGGCAUUGCAAGGCGGGUUCUCCUCCAAAUUCCAUACACAUGUUGAAUACAGUCCGGUUUCUUGUAGAUGUUGCGCUCCUGAGCUUCUGCGCCCAAUAAUGGCUGCUCCCCACGUGUCAAACGAAUAUGAAAGGUCUGAGUGUUUUUACAUUCACACCCCUAGCCGCGUAAACAAGUUGACCUAUUUAAAGAGACGAGGAUUUAGAUCCAAACCACACCUUCCCCCUUUCGCGAGUGUUCAUCAGAGGGCAUUCGACAAAGAUCCAUUCCACCAUGGCCAGCCGUCGCGACUCCUCCUCCCGCCCUUCCAUCCCUAAGCCUGGACAUUGGGAAAGAUGCUCCAUCCUGCAUAGCGAGUUAGUGACACUCCAGACCAAGGGAUUUCUCCCCCCGGCCUAUAUGACCCCGGUUCGAGCUGGUCUUGCCAUCUAUAACGGCGGAGGGCAAGCGGAGAGCGCCCCUAAUCCCUCCAAAGGAGAGCGGGUGUGCCUCGUCCCUUAUUUAAUAAGGGGGCUCGGAUUUCCCAUCCAUCAUUUCUCCGGGGGCUGCUGGAGUUCUACGGCCUCCAGCUACAUCAUCUCACGCCUGCCUCAGUAUUGCAUAUCGCGGGCUUUGUAGCUCUCUGCGAGCUUUUCUUGGGUAUUGAAGCCCAUUUUGGACUAUGGAGGGAGCUAUUUUGCCUCGUGCCCCGUUCCAAGAAGGGGUCUAUGUAUCAAGUGGCCGGAGUCGAAGUAUGGCGCGUCGCCGGGACCGGCUAUAUGUCCGGAACCCCAAAGAAGGCGUCCGAAGACUAGCCCUCGGAAUGGUUUUACAUAGAAGACGUCCCGCUGCCGGAUCCUGUCCGGAUCGGCCUCCCUGAAUUCAAUAAUGCUCCCUUAAAGAAGCUCCUAAGCUGGCGCCCACGGAGCCCUCAGAGGGAAAGUGACAGGGACGUUGUUUACCUCAUGGGCCGGAUAAGAUUGUUAGCUCAUUCCGGACUAACCAUGAUCCGGGUCAUGGACGCAUGCAUCAUGUGAGGGGUGCAGCCGCUACAGUAUAGAAGCCACCCCAUGUGGGAUUUCAACGGGGAGGACGACACCACCCGCUAUGGCCGUAAGGGGCCGGAUUCGGCUGCGGCUCUAAUAAAGACCUUGUCCGCUUUGUACAAGGGAGAAGAGGAGGAUUUUCUCUGCGUUAACCCAAAGGGUGGAUUUUCCAUGUACAAUCCUCCAAGCUGGGUGAGUGAUCACAUCUUACCCAUCCGUUUUAUAUCCCCAUUGUUAAAUAUUUAAUCUUAGCGAUUUCGACGCAGGAACAGCGCCAGGCUGUUAAAGAAAUAAACAGCCCUCCUCCACAACCCGAGGACCCAGGACGGUCCCUCGACCCGGACUCGCAAGAGGAUCCAGAGCUUUCAGUGGAUCUGAUUGAUGGAGUAUUCCAUCAAUUGAGCAAGGACAACGCCCUGGUGGCCAUUACAGCCGAUUAUCCAGGGCUAAUCCCGGCCUCCCAGAAACAGGAGGCCAAACCUGCGGCGACAAGCCAACGAGGGGCCGCAGGGCCCCGUGGGCAAAAAAGAGGUGCAUUCCGGACCGGGGCGUCAGCGCAAAGGUAUGGCGCACCCCCUUAUCCCAAGUGUCGUACCAUCAGGGCAUAUUAACACUUGUGCCCUCUUCAGGACAAAGAGACCUCGCCGAACUAUAUUCGGAGAGACCGCCAAUCGCGCCUCCACCAGCCAGGCUCCAAAGCCUGGUCCGGAAGCGGGGCCGAACACAAGGCGCGCACUGGACGCUCCUCUGACGGAGGAUGUAGACAGGUUGUCUACCACUAACUAUGAGGUGGAGAGUGCCAUGAACCACAGGCAUCGCCGGACAAUUCUUCGUGACGCUUGUUUCUCCCAAGAGGCGUUAGAUGCCUUUAAGUCGGGAGAUGCGUACCUCCGUGCCGCUCAAAAUGGUCUAACCAGAGCCACAGAGCAAUAUGUAAAAGACAUACGUGUAAGAAAAUUUUGGUAAUUAUAUAUAUACCAGUAGCCCCCGAGACUUGAAACAGUUAAAAUAACUGAUUUAAGGAUCAUUUGUUAUGCAGGUUCUUACAGAAAAGAAUUCCCUACUGUCCAAGGAGCUGGAAGAGUGCAAAGCCCAACUUGAGGUCGCAUUAGCCGCGGCAGGGGAGCCUAAGGAGGCCCCCACUGGUAAUAUACACUUCGAAAGGUAAGUAUUUUGCGAAGCACGGCUUUGGUGCGAAUCUGGCAAAUGAAAUUGCAGAUGGCGCCGGAUUGGAUCCGGAAAGGCAACAUCUCCUACGCCAGCUAAAGGCUGGUGAGAGGGUGUUGUUGAAGGUGAUGGGGGAGAAGAACGAUCUCCGAGAUGCCAACACCAAGCUGGGCGUCGAGCUGAAAGAUGUUCGUGCCCAGCUAUCAGACUCCGUGAAGGAGAAUCAGCGGCUUCGGCGCGGCAUAUUUAAUAAGUUCUUGAAUGAACUUUUUAAAAGAAAGUUCGGCAGGGAAGUCGACUAACAGAGCAAUGUCUGUAGGUGUGCUGACAGGCCGUCCUGGAGAGGAGAUGCCCGGUUCUACGGGUGACCUUUUUCCCGAGCUCUCCCAACUGCUCGAUCGAGUUCGGCAAGCGAUGCGAGGCGUCGCCCAGGCCCUGUGGCCAUCCGUAUCCAUGCCCGAAGGUCUUGGAGAGCAUGGGGAGAAGCUAAAAGGAGCACGGUGGCGCUUCCGAUUGUGGAAGAUAUCAGCCUGCCGUCAAGGCGCUAGGGAGGCCUGGGCCAUGCUGAAGAUGCGGUACGCAAAGGCUAACCCCAACCACAUGGCCGAGGUCGGUCCUAUAGGGCCCGAUGGGAAGGAGAUCCCUGUAAGCUUAGUAUACGGCCAAGUAGAGUUGGCCGCAAAGUAUUCCCAGCAGGACUGUAAAUUAGACAGCAUGUUAGAUGGUAUUGAAGAGGAAUACGAUCAGUCAAAAUGACUAUGUAAUUUAGUUGACAUUUAUAAUGCCUUCUAGCCGGAUUGUAGAUCAUUUGUCAUGGCCGACCUUUUCGCUUCAGCCUCGGGACCUGACGAUCCGGAGUGUGUCCGAAUUCCCAUGCGGUUAUAUAGGAACCGGGGAAUGCAUGGAGACCAGGCGUAGGGGUUAUUAGUGCGUGAACAGACAAGUGCCCGACUAGUUAUGUUAUAUUACAUGGUUAGUAAGAAACAUCUUCCAGGGAGAAUAGUUCCAUUAGGGGUUCCUUUCUCUGGGAGGCAUGCCCUAAGGUGCAUGCCCAUGCUGCGAAAAGAAACGCAGGAAAAACAUCUGGGGGCGUAAAAAAUAAAAAGAUCAUCUUUAGUUCACCAACCGAAUAUUCCCUUAAGAACGCUAGCUUUCGGCUUCACCCAGUCUGAGGUACACGUCCGGCUGACCCGGCAGUAACAAUUGCAGAGGUGCUCCCUUUACCACCUAGCCGAACAAUCGGGAACGUAGGGGUAAGCACAGGAGCCAGGCAACCCAGCUUGGCCAAAACUUAAGUCAUAUCGAUGCAUAUAAUGGUGAAUAAAAGGUACAUGCGGAAGUGUGACGCAUGUGUUGGGCAUGAAGCCCGUAUGAAUAAGCUUAUGUUUAAAGAAGCCCCCAGGUUUAAUGAGUGCGGAUGGCGCGUCACUGUAUGAGCCUUUAAGGGCUAUAAGAGAGAGAAAGAAAAGAAGAAGAGAAAUGCAAGACAGAAAAUAUAUAUAAAAAAUGGACAGAGGAAGAAGACGAACAUAGAGUCCGGCGCUAGGCAGAGAAUCUUCGGAGACGGGCUGCGUUCCAUGGGUUCGGCUCGAGUCCGUUAUCCGAUGCAUCUCGCAGGCGGUACGCUCCACCAGUCAGGACUUGGUCGAUUAUGAAGGGACCUUCCCACUUGGGCUUGAGUUUGUCCUUUUUCUUGUCCGGUAGUCGUAGAACUAAUUCGCCAACGUUGUAAUUUUUGGCCCGUACUUCUCUGCUUUGGUAUCUUCGAGCCUGCUGUUGAUAGAAUGCGGAACGGGCUUUUGCCACGUCACGCUCCUCCUCCAAUGCGUCUAAGCUGUCCUGACGAUCGAGCUCGGCUUCUCUUUCUUCAUACAUGCGCACUCGAGGUGAGUCAUGAAUUAUGUCGCAGGGCAAAACUGCCUCUGCGCCGUACACCAUAAAGAAUGGUGUGUAUCCGGUGGUGUGAUUCGGUGUGGUCCGCAGCCCCCAGAGUAUGGAGUCGAUCUCCUCUACCCAGUGCAUGUUAGAUUCCUUGAGGGACCGCACUAAUCUGGGUUUAAUGCCGCUCAUGAUAAGACCAUUUGCACGUUCGACCUGGCCGUUAGUUUGUGGGUGAUAGACGGAAGCAUAGUCGAGCUUGAUGCCCAUGUUUUUGCACCAGAGUUUUACCUCAUCGGCCGUGAAGUUCGUGCCGUUAUCAGUGAUGAUGUUGUGGGGAACGCCGUAACGGUGUACGACCUCGGAUAUAAAGUCUAUCACCGGUCCGGAUUCGGCUGUCUUAACAGGCUUGGCUUCUAUCCGUUUGAUGAAUUUAUCCACCAUGACCAGUAAGUAUUUUUGCUUGUGGGUUCCGCCUUUAAGGGGUCCAACCAUGUCAAGCCCCCAGACCACGAAGGGCCAAGUAAUGGGGAUGGUUCGGAGGGCGGUGGGUGGCAUAUGGCUUUGGUUUGCAAAGAGCUGGCAACCGGUGCAUCGUUGGACUAAGUCCUGAGCGUCUGCCCGGGCCGUUGGCCAAUAAAAGCCUGUACGGAAGGCCUUGCUUACGAGGGACCGAGCUACAGCGUGAUGACCGCCCAGUCCAGCAUGAAUUUCGGCCAGGAGGUUCCGCCCCUCCUCUUGGGAGAUGCACCUUUGAAGGACUCCGGUAGUGCUUUUCUUAUAAAGCUCUCCCUCGUGGACUCUGUAGGCUUUGGAUCGCCGCACUAUGCAGCGUGCCUCAUUUUCGUCCUUGGGGAGUUCCUGCCUAGUGAGGUAGGCGAGGAAUGGUUCUGUCCACGGGGCGAUGAUGGCCAUUAUUACGUGGGCUAAAGGUGUUAUUUCAUUGGCAGAGCCUCCGACUGUGUCAGAAUGUUCGGUGUCGGGCAGUGUGGUUGGGUCCGGGUUGUUAUUGUUCGGCUCCCCUUCCCAUACUACGGAUGGCUCGAACAGCCUUUCCAGGAAGAUGUUGGGGGGGAGUACAUCGCGUUUUGCGCCGAUGCGUGCCAGGACAUCUGCCGCCUGAUUAUUUUCCCGGGCUAUAUGCUGAAAUUCAAGCCCCUCGAACCGAGCUGGCAUUUUUAGGACGGCGUUGUGGUAAGCUGCCAUUUUUGGAUCCUUGGCAUCGAAGUAUCCAUUUAUUUGGGAUAUAGCGAGGUUCGAGUCCCCGCGCACCUCUAGGCGUUGAAUGCCCAUGGAUACUGCCAUCCAGAGACCAUGUAAAAGGGCCUCAUAUUCGGCUGCGUUGUUGGAGUCCGUGUACAUAAUCUGGAGUACGUAUUGAACUGUGUCUCCUGUGGGGGAUGUCAAAACGACGCCAGCCCCCAGUCCGGCCAACAUCUUGGAGCCGUCGAAAUGCAUGAUCCAAUUUGAAUAUGUGCCAUACUCUUUAGGGAGUUCGGCCUCCGUCCAUUCUACGACGAAGUCGGCCAAGACUUGCAACUUGAUGGCUCGCCGUGGCUUAUAAGUUAUGUCGAACGGGAGGAGCUCAAUGGCCCAUUUUGCAAUCCGGCCCGUGGCGUCACGGUUGUUUAUAAUAUCGUUGAGUGGUACUUCCGAGGCUACUGUUAUUGAACACUCUUGAAAGUAAUGUCGUAGCUUCCGGGAUGCCAUGAAUACCGCGUAUGCGAUCUUUUGAUAAUGCGGGUACCGUGAUUUGCAAGGAGUGAGGACAGUGGACACAUAAUAGACCGGCUUUUGAAGGGGGGAUCUGUGUCCGUCCGUUUCUCGUUCCACGACGAGCACUUCGCUUACAACCUGAUGUGUUGCUGCAAUGUAUAAUAGCAUUGGUUCGCCAAUAUUUGGCGCGGCCAGGACUGGGUUUGUUGCAAGUAUGGCUUUUAUCUCCCCGAGUACGGCCGUGGCUGCAUCCGUCCAUUCGAAGUGUUCGGUGCACUGAAGGAGGCGGUAAAGGGGUAGGGCCUUUUCUCCCAAGCGGGAGAUAAAGCGGCUUAGAGCCGCCACGCAUCCGGUUAAUUUUUUUAUUUGUUUGGGGUCCUUUGGGAUAUCCAGUUGCGACAGAGCUCGGAUCUUGGCCGGAUUUGCUUCGAUUCCUCUACCGGAUACAAUGAAGCCCAAGAGCUUUCCGGCUGGAACGCCGAAAAUGCAUUUUUCCGGGUUGAGCUUGAUGUCGUAUGUUCGGAGGUUAUCAAAUGUGAGCCUCAAGUCGUCUACUAGAGAUUCGACAUGUCUUGUUUUGACGACCACAUCAUCUACAUAUGCCUCCACUGUUUUGCCGAUCUGGCUUGCCAGACAUGUCUGAAUCAUGUGUUGAUAUGUUGCGCCGGCGUUUUUGAGCCCGAAGGGCAUUGUGUUGAAGCAGAAUGGGCCGUAUGGUGUGAUAAAUGCCGUUGCGGAUUGGUCAGAUUCUGCCAUCUUGCUUUGAUGGUAGCCGGAAUAUGCAUCGAGGAAACACAACAAAUCGUGUCCUGCGGUAGCGUCGAUAAUUUGAUUGAUGCGGGGGAGGGGGAAGGGAUCCUUUGGGCAAGCCUUGUUUAGGUAUUUAAAAUCAACGCACAGGCGCCAGGAUUUGUCCUUCUUUGGUACCAUCACCAGGUUUGCUAGCUAGUCCCGAUGUUUUAUAUCUCUGAUGAAUCUAGCCUCCAAUAGCUUUGCUAGCUCCUCUCCCAUAGCCUGUCUCUUAGGUUCGGAAAAACGUUGAAGAGCCUGUUUGACAGGUUUGAAUCCUGUUUGGAUAUUUAAGCUGUGCUCGGCCAGCCUGCGUGGGAUUCCUGGCAUGUCUGAAGGGUGCCAGGCAAAAAUGUCCCAGUUUUCUCGUAGGAACUCUCGCAGUGCGGCAUCUACAUCAGGGUUUAACUGUGCCCCGAUGGAAGUUGUUUUAUUUGGGUCUAUUGGAUGGACUUGGAAUUCGACUAUUUCUUCCGCCGGUUUAAAGGAGGUGGACUUGGAUCUUUUGUCGAGUACCACAUCGUCCCUAUUCACUGUAGAGCGCAGCACAGUCAGUUCCUCAGCCGCUAGGGCUUCGGAUAGUGCCUCGAGGGCCAGUGCGGCUGUCUUGUUUUCGGCGCGGAGUGCUAUGUCCGGAUCACUAGCGAGAGUGAUGAUCCCGUUAGGCCCGGGAAUUUUGAGCUUCAUGUACCCGUAAUGGGGUAUUGCUUGGAAGAUUGUGAACGCUUCCCGCCCUAGCAGAGCGUGAUAACCGCUGCUGAACGGAGCCACAUGGAACGUGAUCUCUUUGGACCUGUGAUUAUCCGGCGUGCCGAACACCACAUCUAGUGUGAUUUUUCCUGUGCAUCGUGCUUCCCGACUGGAGAUUAUUCCUCUAAAGGUUGUGCUGCUUCGCUCAAUGCGGUUCCAGUCUAUUUCCAUUUUUUGAAGGGUUUCCUCGUAAAUGAGGUUCAAUCCGCUGCCGCCGUCCAUGAGUACCUUGGUAAGACGAAAGCCAUCCACUAUUGGGCUGAGGACCAAUGCGGCUGGUGCUUGGGUUGUUCGAAAUUUAGGUUCAUCACUGGCGUUAAAGGUAAUAGCCAUGUCACUCCAUGGGUUUAUUGUUGCUACUUGGUAGACUUCGGCAAGGCUGCGGAGUGUCCUUUUUCACAUAUUAUUUGAUGCGAAAGUCUCGAAGACUGUUAAUACCGUAUGGGUGUCUCUGGGGUUGCUUUCUGUGGCCUCCAGAAUUAGGAGGUUUUCGCCAAUUUUUGCCACCUGCCGGAGUAUCCAACAUGCUCUAAGGCUGUGAGUUGGUGUGGCGUCCUCUGUACUGUGAAUUUUACAGGGUCCGUUAAGCCGUCCUUCCAGUACGGUUCCAUGCCCUAUAUAGGGUUUUUGCUUUUUGGUAUUUGACCUGGGUGUCUGGUUAUGCUGUACCCUUUUAUUUCGGACUGGGUUUGUAUUUAGGACCGGAUUGUCCCAAAAUUUUAUUUUGGUUUUCCAGGCGCUUUCCAUCGCGCAAUACUUUUGUACAAUGGACGCCAAGUCAGCGAAGCGUGUGAUAUCACGGCGACUUAUGGCGUUGAGUAUUCCCUUGUCCGUGCAAUUAUUGCAGAAGAUUAAGAUUGUGUCUUCCUCGCGGCAGUCCCUUAUCCAGUUCUUAACCAGGAGGAAUCUAGCCCAGUAAUGAUGUACUGUUUCGUCGGGCUCUUGCCUGAUUUUGGAUAGAUCACUUAUGUUGGGGUGGGUGGGUGGAGUUAAAUCCGAAGCCUCACCCCGUCUAAGGCUCAGAGGCCGAGGAAUUUCUGAACUCGAAAAUUUGGUUAUCUGGGUGUUGUCCAAUGAAUCCAGCCCGUCGCCUGACUCUAAGUUCAGGUCUUGAGUGAUAUCCUCCCCUCUGCGGGUAUCCGGCUUGGAGGGAUCGGGAAUCCGGACGUAGCGAGUCCUUAAGAUAGACGAAGGGUCGCCGCACUGUCCCUCUACCACGACAACAUGGUGGGUGACUUGGGGAGAGUUAAUCUCUCUCAGAUUGGUUUUAGGCCCAAUCUGGUCAUAAUCCGUAGCGACUCCCAGGGCGGCGAAGCGAUCCAAGAGCUCGUUUAUGGAGGAAAGCUCCAUUGGAUCUAACUGCUCGGCGAGUUCCGAACUGACAUGAAGAUUGUUUUCGAUGGCUCGAGAGGUCAUCGUCGGUGCAGAAGCCGAACAGGCGGUCAUAAGAAAACCACCUAGCCGGAGGGUUUGGCCGACAGCCAAAGCUCCCUUAGCAACGGUGCCAUCUUUAAAGACGGGGCAAGUCAUCCUUCCUGAUGGCGACGACAUAGAGGAACUCUCAAUGAAAGCACCAAUGUCGGUGUCAAAACCAGCGGAUCUCGGGUAGGGGGUCCCGAACUGUGCGUCUAGGCCGGAUGGUAACAGGAGGCAAGGGACACAAAGUUUUACCCUGGUUCGGGCCUUCUCGAUGGAGGUAAAACCAUACAUCAUGCUUGAUUAAUAUUGAUGAUAUGGGUAGUACAAGAGUAGAUCUACCACGAGAUCAGAGAAGCUAAACCCUAGAAGCUAGCCUAUGGUAUGAUUGUUGAUGUGUAUGUUCUCCUACGGACUAAAACCCUUCGGUUUAUAUAGACACCGGAUAGGGUUAGGGUUACAUAGAGUCGGUUACAAUGGUAGGAGAUCUGAAUAUCCGUAUCGCCAAACUUGCCUUCCACGCCAUGGAAAGUCCCUUUCGGACACGGGACGAAGUCUUCAAUCUUGUAUCUUCAUAGUCCAGGAGUCCGGCUGAAGGUAUAGUUCGGCUAUCUGAACACCCCCUAAUCCAGGACUCCCUCACCCCUCUUGGAAGGGGGCCGCCUGCCGGAGUCCGGAACCACUGGAGGUUCCGGCGCGGUGUUCGGCUGAGGGCCGAACUUGGAGCCCUUGAGAGUCUUGCUCCCUUUGCUCCUGGAGUCUGAAAGGUCGCCUUGAGGCGCCUCCGGGACUAUCUCCCCCCGGCUCGGUGCCCCUUGAGACAAUACCUCGACAUUGUCCGUAGGGCAAGUAGAGGAGGCGGUUGGAAGUGUAUCACUAUCCAUAUCCGGUGAGUCCAAGGAACUGUUCGAUGAGGAUACGUCGAUACGGGCUCGGGGCGGACUGCAUAAUCAUAUUCGACGUUAGGAGAAGCAGUGCAACAAAAGUAUGCUAUGAGUUACUCUGGCAUCUGAAUACUUACGACUUCGCCAGGGGCUUGGCACUGAGUAGCCACUCGUCUUCACCGUCGGCGGCGGUGGUGGAACAGUCCGGAAGAAGAAUCCUUCCCUUCUUGGACCCUUCGGCCUCCACGGUUGGGGCGGCCUUCCUUUUCUUGUCUCCCCGGCUAGAGGGGAAAAUCUUCAUCUUCCUCCUCCUCGUUUUCACGGGAGGAGUGCGUCUCGGAGUUAUCGGACGAUAUGUCCGAUACCACCUGGUGCCGGGAACUCUCUCGGGUUCCCGUGGCCUUCUUCUUGGUCUUCUCCGGCACCUCAUAAGGAGCCAGAGUCCGCAUCUCCGUCAGGAGAGCAUCUGCAGGGUCUUCGGGUAGAGGGGUCGGAUAGUUAAUCUACUCCGAUGUCUCCACCCAGUCCUGUCAAAGGCAUGGGAGCUCAGACCCCGCACAUGGUUAAGCUAUGGGAAAUAAAUACCCUACCAGAUGUACAGAACUUACCGGAUUCGCAGGGCGCUUCGCGCUUAGCCCGCGGUCCUCAGUAAGAGAAGGGGGGACCUCGACGCCCUUGAAUAGCACCUUCCAGACGUCCUUAUGCGUCGUGUUGAAGAACUCACGUAGAGUCUGGUGCUGGGCCGGGUCGAACUCCCAUAAGUUGAAAGCCCGUUGUUGACACGGGAGGAUCCGGCGGAAGAGCAUGACCUAGACUAUGUUGACAAGCUUAAGUUUCUUGCUUAUCAUGUUUCGGAUACACUUUUGGAGUCCGUCCAGCUCCACCGAUGAGCCCCAGGACAGGCCCUUCUCCUUCCAGGAAGUGAGCCGCGUGGGGAUUCCGGAUCGAAACUCGGGGGCCGCCACCCAGUUGGUGUCGUGCAGCUCGGUGAUGUAGAACCACCCCGAUUGCCACCCCUUUAUGGUCUCUAUGAAGGAUCCCUCGGUCCAUGUAACGUUGGGCAUUUUGCCCACCAUGGAUCCGUCGCAUUCUGCUUGUUGGCCGCCAACCACCUACGGCUUGAUAUUGAAGGUCUUCAGCCACAGGCCGAAGUGGGGCCGGAUGCAGAGGAAAGCCUCGCAUACGACGAUGAACGCCGAGAUGUUGAGGAUGAAAUUCGGGGCCAGAUCAUGAAAGUCCAGCCCAUAAUAGAACAUAAGGCCGCGGACGAAUGGAUGGAGGGGAAACCCCAGUCCGCGGAUAAAGUGGGGGAGGAAAAACACCCUUUCGUGAGGUUUCGGGGUAGGAACGAUCUGCCCCGCGGCUGGCAGCCGGUGCGCGAUAUCCGCGGCUAAGUAUCCGGCCCCACGUAGUUUUUUGAUGUGUCCCUCUAUGACGGAGGAGACCAUCCACUUGCCUCCCGCUCCGGACAUGUUUGGAGAGAGUUGAGGAGAAGGAUGUGGACUUGGGCGCUGGAGCUCGAGCGCGCGCAAAUGGAUGAGUAAGGAGGAAGAAGGCGUGGGUAGAAAAAGGUGAAACCUUAUCCCUUUAUAAGGGCGGACGAAACUAUGCGCCCCCACAGCCUGGUAAAACUCGCUUAUCCCCCAAGCACCGUAAUUGAUGGCGCGGUUGGGUUACCCACGUCCGUAUUGAUGGGAAUCCCGUAAUAAGGGGACACGAUCUCUGCUUCGACAAGACGUGCCAAGGAAACCACCUCGCGGAACACGCUGAUAUAGGUUAUGAAAAACGAUUCGAAUAAAGACCUGGCUGUGGUGUGAUGCCACGCUAUGGAGUACGUCAGCAGAUCAGAUUUGUGAAAAUAUUAUUCUCUCUACGGAGGUAUGUGGAACUUGUUUUGCAAAGCCGGAAACGAUCCUCGUGUUCAAAAUCGUCUAUGAAGUAUUCGGAGGAGGAACCCGCCUUGCAAUGCCGAAGACAAUCUGCGCGCCGGACUCAUUGUCAUUGAAGCCUGGUUCAGGGGCUACUGAGGGAGUCCUGGAUUAGGGGGUAUCCGGACAGCCAGACUAUAUCUUUUGGCCGGACUGUUGGACUAUGAAGAUACAAGAUUGAAGACUUCGUCCCGUGUCCGGAUGAGACUCUCCUUGGCGUGGAAGGCAAGCUUGGCAAUACGGAUAUGCAGAUCUCCUUCCUUGUAACCGACUCUGUAUAACCCUAGCCCCUUCCGUUGUCUAUGUAAACCGGAGGGUUUUAGUCCGUAGGACAACAUACAAUCAUACCAUAGGCUAGCUUAUAGGGUUUAGCCUCUCUGAUCUCGUGAUAGGUCAACUCUUGAAUUAUUCAUAUUAUCAAGAAUAAUCAAGCAGGACGUAGUGUUUUACCUCCAUCAAAAGGGCCCGAACCUGGGUAAAACAUCGUGUCCCCUGCCUCCUGUUACCAUCUGCCUUAGACGCACAGUUCGGAACCCCCUACCCGAGAUCCGCCGGUUUUGACACCGACAGUGGGCCAGCGAGCGAGGGCGCGGGGGCAGCGCUGCAUGCGCGCGCAGGGCAGGCGGUGGGCGCACGCGGGGUGGGCGGCGCGCAUCGCUGUGUGCGCGCAAGGUAGGCGGCGGGAGGCGGGACGGCGCGCAGCGCGGCGGGCAACGGGGUGUGGCGAGCAGGAGCGGGCAGGNNNNNNNNNNNNNNNNNNNNNNNNNNNNNNNNNNNNNNNNNNNNNNNNNNNNNNNNNNNNNNNNNNNNNNNNNNNNNNNNNNNNNNNNNNNNNNNNNNNNNNNNNNNNNNNNNNNNNNNNNNNNNNNNNNNNNNNNNNNNNNNNNNNNNNNNNNNNNNNNNNNNNNNNNNNNNNNNNNNNNNNNNNNNNNNNNNNNNNNNNNNNNNNNNNNNNNNNNNNNNNNNNNNNNNNNNNNNNNNNNNNNNNNNNNNNNNNNNNNNNNNNNNNNNNNNNNNNNNNNNNNNNNNNNNNNNNNNNNNNNNNNNNNNNNNNNNNNNNNNNNNNNNNNNNNNNNNNNNNNNNNNNNNNNNNNNNNNNNNNNNNNNNNNNNNNNNNNNNNNNNNNNNNNNNNNNNNNNNNNNNNNNNNNNNNNNNNNNNNNNNNNNNNNNNNNNNNNNNNNNNNNNNNNNNNNNNNNNNNNNNNNCGGGACGGGCGGGGGGCGUGGCGAGCAGGAGCGGGCAGGAGGCGGGCGCCGCGGUGAGCGCGGGCGAGGCGGGCGGCGGGGCCAGCACCUACCCACCGACCGUAGCAGCAGCACAGCACGCGCUCGUAGCGCUGGCUGGCGGUUCCAUCCGUCCGUCGGUUGCACAGCGCGCGGGUCAUUCGUCCGUGCUCUGCUCUGUCCAGGGCCUCCACCCACCGCACGCACGUGCUCGUCACAGAGUACAAUAUCACAGGAUCCGCAUCACGGUUUCCAUUCCCAGUAUUCCAUUCUACUGUCUGGUCGAGCUCAUAUUUCCGAGCUAUGCGGCGGGCUCAAGAAAUAGCAGCACGUACAGGUACAGGGGCAUUCGCACCACACACACGGUAGUAUGAAAUGUUCUUCCACAUGUUUUAUCAUUAUAAAAGAAAUCAAUUGGUUCGAUCCAUCACGAGCCCCUCAUACUGAAUAGCAAAGCGACUAAACAAGCAGCAAAUCCCUAAACUCCAAUUUAUUAUUACACACCAAAGUCGCACAACAGUUUAACCAAAGAACGGUGGCAAAACUCAGUCUGAUAAAUGGAUCAUCAAAGAAGAUUCAACGCAUCCAGAAGCAAGGCCGACAUAGGAGCUGUGCACCAUGCCAGGGACGUAGCCAGUCGAGGAAGUUCAGCCAGUGAUCCUUGGAACCCCCAGACGACGCCACCCCUGCGAUGCACUGUAUGCUUCACCCGCCACCUGCUCCAUGACUUUUGCUCCCAGCGUCAACACCCUUUGAUUUCCCUUCUUUAUCUGCAAAAUUGCCUAAUUUGUUAUCCACCGAAAUAUCAACUUGAUAAGCAUAAUACGGUCAUUUAUCAUCUUUCUUUCAAAAAUAAUAUCAUUUCUGCUUCUCCAAAUUGUCCCAGAGAUAGCGGUAACAACAACUAACACCUGUUUUUCAGUUCCAUUGUGAAAACUUUUAAUAUAGGUACUAAAGC